rnacentral:lncRNA from 12 species
CACCAGCCUCCGCCCAAGGAAACUUGUGAAUGAAAAGUGGCUCUUCAGGUGAGACGCUCCUUCUUCUCGAGUGUUUGGAGCUCAAACAGGAUCAGAUGCUCCUCUGUUACAGGAUCGUCUGAGUCAGACGGAUCCAGGCUCAGAAUCGCAGCAGUCGCGCUCAGAAUCCAGACGGCAGCAGGUCAGAGCUUUCCUCUCGUACACCUGCUCUGCGUCAUUAUCCCAGUCUCAGGAGACAGCUCUCAGCUUUAUAGAAGGGUUGGAUCGAAAAUAUGUCAAUACUCAAAUCCCAAGAAUCAGUCUCUGCUGUUUACAUCGGAUGCAUGAGCAAACUGAAUUAAAACAUUAUUUGAUACAUAUCACAGUUGAUAUGAAACAAAGUCUCAGCUUUCAAAUUCUGUCAGUUUUAUCACUCUGCUCUUUAAGUGUGCUGACAGACGCUGUAGUGAAGCCAUCAUCUCUUCCUCUUUACUACUAGUUACAGCAGCAAAUAAACAUGAACGAACAGCAGAAGAAGCAGAACAACUCGCUGAAAUCAGUCCUGGAUCAUUUAAAAAACUUAACUUUUUUGCUGACAUUUUCUCUGAAGCUGUCGAAUGCUCUGAAUAGUUCUUCCUGAUGUUAUAAAGCCCCGAGUGUCGUAAACCUGCACAUCUCUAGAGCUUUUCUCUUUGUCAUCAUGUGGACGUUAUGUGGCGUAUAAAAGCAGUAUUAGUGAGACAUCGUGAUGGGUUUUUGUAAUCCCAGCGAGAGUUUCUGGAGCUUUCUAGGAAGUGGGUGACUGAGAUUAUGUAAUGUAAUUUAAUGAUGAAAAUCUAUUCAUGGGAAAGUGCUGAAAUAAACCUGCAUGAUGAAAAUAGAAAAAGCUGUGACAUGAGAUCGGCGUCAGGAGGAUCUGUUAUUAACAUGAUAAUAUAUAUAUAUAUAUAUAUUUUUUUUUAAUGAUGAAAAUUAGAUAUUUUCAUACCUGCAUAUUUAAGAGUUUAAAUUAAUUUUUUUCUAUUUUUAAGUAAAAUAUUUAUUUUAUUUAUAUUAUAGAUUUAUUUU